rnacentral:miRNA from 1 species
UCUGAUACUCUUCGCUGCGCGGGA